GCCUAAUAGCAUGCAAGUCGAACGAACUCUGGGUAUUGAUUGGUGCUUGCAUCAUGAUUUACAUUUGAGUGAGUGGCGAACUGGUGAGUAACACGUGGGAAACCUGCCCAGAAGCGGGGGAUAACACCUGGAAACAGAUGCUAAUACCGCAUAACAACUUGGACCGCAUGGUCCGAGCUUGAAAGAUGGCUUCGGCUAUCACUUUUGGAUGGUCCCGCGGCGUAUUAGCUAGAUGGUGGGGUAACGGCUCACCAUGGCAAUGAUACGUAGCCGACCUGAGAGGGUAAUCGGCCACAUUGGGACUGAGACACGGCCCAAACUCCUACGGGAGGCAGCAGUAGGGAAUCUUCCACAAUGGACGAAAGUCUGAUGGAGCAACGCCGCGUGAGUGAAGAAGGGUUUCGGCUCGUAAAACUCUGUUGUUAAAGAAGAACAUAUCUGAGAGUAACUGUUCAGGUAUUGACGGUAUUUAACCAGAAAGCCACGGCUAACUACGUGCCAGCAGCCGCGGUAAUACGUAGGUGGCAAGCGUUGUCCGGAUUUAUUGGGCGUAAAGCGAGCGCAGGCGGUUUUUUAAGUCUGAUGUGAAAGCCUUCGGCUCAACCGAAGAAGUGCAUCGGAAACUGGGAAACUUGAGUGCAGAAGAGGACAGUGGAACUCCAUGUGUAGCGGUGAAAUGCGUAGAUAUAUGGAAGAACACCAGUGGCGAAGGCGGCUGUCUGGUCUGUAACUGACGCUGAGGCUCGAAAGUAUGGGUAGCAAACAGGAUUAGAUACCCUGGUAGUCCAUACCGUAAACGAUGAAUGCUAAGUGUUGGAGGGUUUCCGCCCUUCAGUGCUGCAGCUAACGCAUUAAGCAUUCCGCCUGGGGAGUACGGCCGCAAGGCUGAAACUCAAAGGAAUUGACGGGGGCCCGCACAAGCGGUGGAGCAUGUGGUUUAAUUCGAAGCUACGCGAAGAACCUUACCAGGUCUUGACAUACUAUGCAAAUCUAAGAGAUUAGACGUUCCCUUCGGGGACAUGGAUACAGGUGGUGCAUGGUUGUCGUCAGCUCGUGUCGUGAGAUGUUGGGUUAAGUCCCGCAACGAGCGCAACCCUUAUUAUCAGUUGCCAGCAUUAAGUUGGGCACUCUGGUGAGACUGCCGGUGACAAACCGGAGGAAGGUGGGGAUGACGUCAAAUCAUCAUGCCCCUUAUGACCUGGGCUACACACGUGCUACAAUGGAUGGUACAACGAGUUGCGAACUCGCGAGAGUAAGCUAAUCUCUUAAAGCCAUUCUCAGUUCGGAUUGUAGGCUGCAACUCGCCUACAUGAAGUCGGAAUCGCUAGUAAUCGCGGAUCAGCAGCC
rnacentral:rRNA from 1 species